GACAGAGGUCCCGAGCGUUUAGGCGGAAUCACUGGGCUUAAAGCGUGUGUAGGCGGAUUUGUAAGUACCUUGUGAAAUCCCACGGCUCAACCGUGGAACUGCUUGGUAUACUGCUUAUCUUGGGCCACUUAGGGGUUACCGGAACAAACGGUGGAGCGGUGAAAUGCGUAGAUAUCGUUUGGAACGCCAAUGGUGAAAACAGGUAACUGGGAGUGUGCCGACGCUGAGACACGAAAGCCAGGGGGAGCGAAACGGGG
rnacentral:rRNA from 1 species